AACGACUGAUACCGGGGGCACCCUGACCGCCUGCCGCGUGAGUGAUGAAGGCCUUAGGGUUGUAAAGCUCUUUCGCAGGGGAAGAUAAUGACGGUACCCUGAGAAGAAGCCUCGGCUAACUCCGUGCCAGCAGCCGCGGUAAGACGGAGGAGGCUAGCGUUGUUCGGAAUUACUGGGCGUAAAGCGUACGCAGGUGGCGGUGCAAGUCGGAUGUGAAAGCCCAGGGCUCAACCCUGGAUGUGCAUCCGUUACUGCAUUGCUAGAGUUCGGGAGAGGAGAGCGGAAUUCCCAGUGUAGAGGUGAAAUUCGUAGAUAUUGGGAAGAACACCGGUGGCGAAGGCGGCUCUCUGGACCGAUACUGACACUCAAGUACGAAA
rnacentral:rRNA from 1 species